AACUCGACUCCAUGAAGCUGGAUUCGCUAGUAAUCGCGCAUCAGCCAUGGCGCGGUGAAUACGUUCCCGGGCCUUGUACACACCGCCCGUCAAGCCAUGGAAGCCGGGAGUGCCUGAAGUGUGCAACCGCAAGGAGCGCCCUAAGGUAAACUGGUGACUGGGGCUAAGUCGUAACAAGGUAGC
rnacentral:rRNA from 1 species